AACAGGAUUAGAUACCCUGGUAGUCCACGCUGUAAACGAUGUCGACUUGGAGGUUGUUCCCUUGAGGAGUGGCUUCCGGAGCUAACGCGUUAAGUCGACCGCCUGGGGAGUACGGCCGCAAGGUUAAAACUCAAAUGAAUUGACGGGGGCCCGCACAAGCGGUGGAGCAUGUGGUUUAAUUCGAUGCAACGCGAAGAACCUUACCUACUCUUGACAUCCAGAGAACUUAGCAGAGAUGCUUUGGUGCCUUCGGGAACUCUGAGACAGGUGCUGCAUGGCUGUCGUCAGCUCGUGUUGUGAAAUGUUGGGUUAAGUCCCGCAACGAGCGCAACCCUUAUCCUUUGUUGCCAGCGGUCCGGCCGGGAACUCAAAGGAGACUGCCAGUGGUAAACUGGAGGAAGGUGGGGAUGACGUCAAGUCAUCAUGGCCCUUACGAGUAGGGCUACACACGUGCUACAAUGGCAUAUACAAAGAGAAGCGACCUCGCGAGAGCAAGCGGACCUCAUAAAGUAUGUCGUAGUCCGGAUUGGAGUCUGCAACUCGACUCCAUGAAGUCGGAAUCGCUAGUAAUCGUGGAUCAGAAUGCCACGGUGAAUACGUUCCCGGGCCUUGUACACACCGCCCGUCACACCAUGGGAGUGGGUUGCAAAAGAAGUAGGUAGCUUAACCUUCGGGAGGGCGCUUACCACUUUGUGAUUCAUGACUGGGGUGAAGUCGUAACAAGGUAACC
rnacentral:rRNA from 1 species